CAAAUGACUCUCGGCAAUGGAUAUCUCGGCUCUUGCAUCGAUGAAGAACGUAGUGAAAUGCGAUACUUGGUGUGAAUUGCAGAAUCUCGUGAACCAUUGAGUCUUUGAACGCAAGUUGUGCCCGAGGCCUUGUGACCGAGGGCACGCCUGCUUGGGCGUCAUGG
rnacentral:rRNA from 2 species